rnacentral:ncRNA from 1 species
AUUUGCAGGGGUGUCCCACAUGAAUGGGGCUGAGAUUAUACCCGAGAACCUGAUCCGGAUAAUGCCGGCGUAGGAACGCAGA